GCCUUUGUGGUGUAAUGGUUAGCACACUCAACACAUAUUCGAAAGGCCCAGGUUCAAAUCCUGGCUAGGGCA